rnacentral:rRNA from 1 species
GGGACACGUGGUAUCCUGUCUGAAUAUGGGGGGACCAUCCUCCAAGGCUAAAUACUCCUGACUGACCGAUAGUGAACCAGUACCGUGAGGGAAAGGCGAAAAGAACCCCGGCGAGGGGAGUGAAAAAGAACCUGAAACCGUGUACGUACAAGCAGUGGGAGCACGCUUAGGCGUGUGACUGCGUACCUUUUGUAUAAUGGGUCAGCGACUUAUAUUCUGUAGCAAGGUUAACCGAAUAGGGGAGCCGAAGGGAAACCGAGUCUUAACUGGGCGUUAAGUUGCAGGGUAUAGACCCGAAACCCGGUGAUCUAGCCAUGGGCAGGUUGAAGGUUGGGUAACACUAACUGGAGGACCGAACCGACUAAUGUUGAAAAAUUAGCGGAUGACUUGUGGCUGGGGGUGAAAGGCCAAUCAAACCGGGAGAUAGCUGGUUCUCCCCGAAAGCUAUUUAGGUAGCGCCUCGUGAAUUCAUCUCCGGGGGUAGAGCACUGUUUCGGCAAGGGGGUCAUCCCGACUUACCAACCCGAUGCAAACUGCGAAUACCGGAGAAUGUUAUCACGGGAGACACACGGCGGGUGCUAACGUCCGUCGUGAAGAGGGAAACAACCCAGACCGCCAGCUAAGGUCCCAAAGUCAUGGUUAAGUGGGAAACGAUGUGGGAAGGCCCAGACAGCCAGGAUGUUGGCUUAGAAGCAGCCAUCAUUUAAAGAAAGCGUAAUAGCUCACUGGUCGAGUCGGCCUGCGCGGAAGAUGUAACGGGGCUAAACCAUGCACCGAAGCUGCGGCAGCGACGCUUAUGCGUUGUUGGGUAGGGGAGCGUUCUGUAAGCCUGUGAAGGUGUGCUGUGAGGCAUGCUGGAGGUAUCAGAAGUGCGAAUGCUGACAUAAGUAACGAUAAAGCGGGUGAAAAGCCCGCUCGCCGGAAGACCAAGGGUUCCUGUCCAACGUUAAUCGGGGCAGGGUGAGUCGACCCCUAAGGCGAGGCCGAAAGGCGUAGUCGAUGGGAAACAGGUUAAUAUUCCUGUACUUGGUGUUACUGCGAAGGGGGGACGGAGAAGGCUAUGUUGGCCGGGCGACGGUUGUCCCGGUUUAAGCGUGUAGGCUGGUUUUCCAGGCAAAUCCGGAAAAUCAAGGCUGAGGCGUGAUGACGAGGCACUACGGUGCUGAAGCAACAAAUGCCCUG